GUACAGAGGGUGCGAGCGUUGUCCGGAAUCAUUGGGCGUAAAGAGCGCGUAGGCGGCUAGAUAAGUCCGGUGUGAAAGUCACAGGCUCAACCUGUGAAUGCCGCUGGAAACUGUCUGGCUAGAGUCCGGAAGGGGCGAGUGGAAUUCCUGGUGUAGCGGUGAAAUGCGCAGAUAUCAGGAGGAACACCGGUGGCGAAGGCGGGUCUCUGGGCCGAUACUGACGCUGAGGAGCGAAAGCGUGGGGAGCGAACAGG
rnacentral:rRNA from 1 species